rnacentral:rRNA from 1 species
UCUCUGGUCUGUAACUGACGCUGAGGAGCGAAAAGCGUGGGGAGCCAAAGGAUUAGAUACCCUGGUAGUCCACGCCGUAAACGAUGAGUGCUAAGUGUUAGGGGGUUUCCGCCCCUUAGUGCUGCAGCUAACGCAUUAAGCACUCCGCCUGGGGAGUACGGUCGCAAGACUGAAACUCAAAGGAAUUGACGGGGGCCCGCACAAGCGGUGGAGCAUGUGGUUUAAUUCGAAGCAACGCGAAGAACCUUACCAGGUCUUGACAUCCUCUGACAAUCCUAGAGAUAGGACGUCCCCUUCGGGGGCAGAGUGACAGGUGGUGCAUGGUUGUCGUCAGCUCGUGUCGUGAGAUGUUGGGUUAAGUCCCGCAACGAGCGCAACCCUUGAUCUUAGUUGCCAGCAUUCAGUUGGGCACUCUAAGGUGACUGCCGGUGACAAACCGGAGGAAGGUGGGGAUGACGUCAAAUCAUCAUGCCCCUUAUGACCUGGGCUACACACGUGCUACAAUGGACAGAACAAAGGGCAGCGAAAACCGCGAGGUUAAGCCAAUCCCACAAAUCUGUUCUCAGUUCGGAUCGCAGUCUGCAACUCGACUGCGUGAAGCUGGAAUCGCUAGUAAAUCGCGGAUCAGCAUGCCGCGGUGAAAUACGUUCCCGGGCCCUUGUACACAACCGCCCGUCACCACCACGAGAAGUUUGUAACACCCCGAAGUUCGGUGAAGGUUACCUUUUUAGGAGCCCAGCCCGCC